AUGCCUCUUGCCUCCGCAGCAGCCACCAGCCCUGCCUGGCUGUAUCACACUGCAACACAGGCUAAACGGCAUCCCACCUCAGGGCCUUUGCCCAUCCUCGUCUCGUGGAAGCUGGCUCCUCCUUGCUGCCAUCUCAGCCUGCUGGCCUUGCUGGAUGGACUGCUCGGCCUGGGCACCACGUGCAUCUCUCUCCAGCACAUGUGGUUCUUUAAUUUAUGUGUUAGCUUCCCUCUUACAUGAAUCAAACCCCUGAGAGCCGUCCCCUGGCCCGUCUUGUUCACAUGCUUCCCUGUGACAUGUAACAGGCACAGUGCACGGAACUGAUGGGAGAGGGAAGCGACCUGUCUCCUGCAGACCCCGGCCCAAGGGUGCCUUUUGAUUGUUGUUUUUGUUUGCUGCAGCAUAGGCAGGUGAGGAGAAGUCACUGAGGAGUGCUCCCCAUAGGAAAGGUGCCUGUGAAGGAGGCUGUGGACCCCAAACUCGGGUGAGGGCUGGAACUCCUGGGCCCUUGUCCCAGAACUCCAGCCCCCUAGGCUGGCUGUCCCCCAUUCCAACAGCAGCAUGUGGAAGCCUUAUAGGUAUUGCACACUGGAUGGACCCUUGAGGUACCAUACCUGCUCCUGCCCUGGGCUUCCCGUAUGACCCGAGACAACACUGCCCACCAGUUGCUCAAAUAAAAAUCUCCAGAUCACA